rnacentral:rRNA from 1 species
AGAGUUUGAUCCUGGCUCAGGAUGAACGCUAGCGGCAGGCUUAACACAUGCAAGUCGUGGGGCAGCGCGGGUAGCAAUACCUGGCGGCGACCGGCAAACGGGUGCGGAACACGUACGCAACCUUCCUCAGAGCGGGGGAUAGCCUCUCGAAAGAGAGAUUAAUACCCCAUAGUAUCUCGGAACCGCAUGGUUUUCGAGAUUAAAGCUCCGGCACUUUGAGAUGGGCGUGCGGCUGAUUAGGUAGUUGGUAGGGUAACGGCCUACCAAGCCGACGAUCAGUAGCUGAUGUGAGAGCAUGAUCAGCCACACGGGCACUGAGACACGGGCCCGACUCCUACGGGAGGCAGCAGUGAGGAAUAUUGGUCAAUGGAGGCAACUCUGAACCAGCCAUGCCGCGUGAAGGAUGAAGGUCCUCUGGAUUGUAAACUUCUUUUAUAAAAGAAGAAACCCCAGUAUUCUUACUGGGUUGACGGUACUUUAUGAAUAAGCACCGGCUAACUCCGUGCCAGCAGCCGCGGUAAUACGGAGGGUGCAAGCGUUAUCCGGAUUCACUGGGCUUAAAGGGAGCGUAGGUGGGUUGGUAAGUCAGUGGUGAAAUCCCCAAGCUUAACUUGGGAACUGCCAUUGAUACUAUCGAUCUUGAAUACUGUGGAGGUAAGCGGAAUAUAUCAUGUAGCGGUGAAAUGCUUAGAUAUGAUAUAGAACACCGANNNCGANNNCAGCUUACUACGCAGUUAUUGACACUGAGGCUCGAAAGCGU